rnacentral:lncRNA from 1 species
UAAAGAAACAAACUUUUACCCUCCCCUGUUGCCACCCUUUUAUACUUCACUAACUCAUGCCACUGCAGUAUUCAUUCUCCUUCUUCACUAUAUUAUUUCUCAUCUUUUUUUUAUCAAGCUGUUGAUUAUCCUGUAGGCUAAUCUGCAUACAUUUCACAAUUUGUCAUUAAAGAAAGAAAAUUGCAAUGAUCUUUUGUACUUUUGUUUCAGGCUUGGAAAUGCAUAAGGAAGUUGAGGAUGACUAUGCUUACCUUUCUAACUUACUUCAAGAGUUCACCAGUAUUCCCAACAUUGACAAGGU